rnacentral:rRNA from 1 species
GACAGAGGGUGCAAACGUUGCUCGGAAUCACUGGGCGUAAAGGGCGCGUAGGCGGCCAUCUAAGUCAGACGUGAAACCCUCCGGCUCAACCUGGGAACUGCGUCUGAUACUGGGAGGCUAGAGUUUGGGAGAGGGAUGUAGAAUUCCAGGUGUAGCGGUGAAAUGCGUAGAUAUCUGGAGGAAUACCGGUGGCGAAGGCGGCAUCCUGGACCAAUACUGACGCUGAGGCGCGAAAGCUAGGGGAGCAAACGGG